rnacentral:rRNA from 1 species
UACGUAGGGUGCGAGCGUUGUCCGGAUUUAUUGGGCGUAAAGAGCUCGUAGGCGGUUUGUCGCGUCGGCCGUGAAAUCUCCACGCUUAACGUGGAGCGUGCGGUCGAUACGGGCAGACUUGAGUCCGGAAGAGGCGAGUGGAAUUCCUGGUGUAGCGGUGGAAUGCGCAGAUAUCAGGAGGAACACCGAUGGCGAAGGCAGAUCUCUGGGCCGUAACUGACGCUGAGGAGCGAAAGCAUGGGGAGCGAACAGG